UCUUUGGGAGGAGCUUUCAAUCCCAGUACGCGCUUCAAUCCUGAGGGGUGAACUGCUUCAGUGCUGACAAAUGAGUCACUGUCUCACACUACUGAGAUGACAGGCAGGGAAAUUAUUCUCUGAAUUGGAAAGAUAACUGCGCCUGCUGUUACUGACAUUACGCAAACUAGCCCCGCACACACACACACACACACACACACACACGCAUGCACGUGACUUACUGAGCUUGUCGUGGCUGCAGAAGUUUCCCAAAGUGAGUGGAGUCGUUCUGCCGGAGUGCCUUCCAGCUCGGGAGUCCUCCCCGCUGCACGUCUAACGGGAGAAACGUCAACUACAGCGGCUCCGCUUCACUUCUGCUCCGUCGACAGCAGCGGCCAUUCCGUCAUUCUUCACAUUUUUCUGCCCGAAACCUCCAUUUUCACACUCCGCGGCUCCGUCCUUCCAGCUCCACACACCGACUGACACACAGCGGGCAAGUGUCAGACUGGAGGACGCGGAGGGCGACGGCGGUGAGGGAGAAGAAGAAGAAGAUGAGGAGUAGGAGGAGGAGGAGGAGGAGGAGGGCGGAGCAGGAUGCCUCCAAACGGCUUCACGGGCACUUUUUUUUUCUAAAACCUCAGUUGCUCUUCUUCCGCAUCGGACCCAGAAGACUUCCCUUCACGUGAGCGCAGUACCUUUACAUGAAUGACAGAGCUGGAUUCACUGCAAACACACUUCAUGCUCACAAAAACACUUUCUAAAAUUGGAACAUCCUGUCGAAGCUCGGCAUCAAACCCAGUGUCGCUGCACAGGUGUGAAUGUUAUGUGUCUUCAUGUGAAAACAUGUCAGGUCAGUUUUGUACCACCUCUGUGGCUGGCCCGUGUCUAUCUCACCUUCACAUUUAGCCUUUUGAGUAUUUGAAAGUCUCAGGUUUUUCACAGGAAAACCACACAAGCUGUUUCAAUGAUCUUUUUUCUUGUCAACCUUUUUUCAUUCUUUUAACGUUGUUCUUUGUGUUACUGAAAUGACUUGAGUUUGAGUUGAGCCACGUCACCAGGAUGCUUAAAGACUUGAGGAAGCUCAGAAUGAACAGCAGUUGUUUAAAUACUGUAGAGUUUUUAUUGUGAGGUCGAGGUUUGCUUUAGUGUUCAAGCUCAGUCAAUCAGACUCAGUGACCCUGGUAUCAGCGUCACUGUGCUGCAGGUGGGAAACAGCUUCGUGUCGUGUCCUGAACUGUGGUCCGUCACGUCUCGGUGUGAUUCUCUCACCUGCCUUCAGCACUGCAGGACUUCCUCAUCGCUGAGAGUUUGAGACUAGUUUCCUCUAACCUCCCUUCUGUUUCUCUGCAUGUCUGUGUGGUGGAGUGCAUCCCCUGGGUGUAAUUGAUAAGUUGCAUUAAACUGUUGAAAGUUUCGCAAAUGUUUGUUAUUCCCUGUAAGUUUUGAUGAUGGAAAUGCCUAUUCACUAAAAUCUCAUGUGAUGAUUUUUCAGUUCAUUUAUAGGAAGCAGUUUGAUGUAACGCUAUACGUUCCUGUGUUUACUGAAGUCACACUUUCUUUUAGUUAUUCCUGUUCUCCUUCUGACUCUGAGCAUUAGGGAAACUUUGAUACAAAGGAGUGCGUUACAGUGCAGGUAACAAAUUAGUGCACUUCAUUUAAACAGUGUGAAAACUAAGAAAAAUAAAUGAACUCUAAAGCAAAUAUCUUGGGCUGUGUGAAGGGACAUGUUUCGGGUGUGGCUGUUUGCAACUUGCAAAGAAAGUGUGUGAAUGGCUUCACCUUCCUGCUUGGCCACCACAAUGAAACUGUCCUCAUAAAGAAUCCACUGGAAGUUUUUCAAAUAUACCACAUCAGGUGUGUCCUGCUUGAUGAUAUUUCCUCUUAUGAAAGCAUCUACUUUGCAUGUGACUGGAAUGUUGCAGGACGGAGGAAUCUCCAGCGGAUCGUGGAGCAUAAUUACAAAGAUCGCUUCGACUCCAAGAAACUGCUGCGCUAUUGAUCCAGGUUCAGUUUCAAAAUGUGGAAGUUUUUUGAUGUCACUGUGUGUUUUACAGAGAUGGAAAUGCAAGACUAGUUCUAUUUCCCAGCUUCAUGGUAGUUUCUGCCAGACAAGGAACCUAAUUAUCUACGUAAACUUCCUUCUAAACGCAGCUCACGACUCCACCUUGUGAUAUAAAGAGCUUGAGCAGACUAGACUGGUCUGCUAAAAGCUGAUUGUUGAGUUUACAGUGAAGCAGAUAUCACACAACUUUAGUUUGGAGUGUUGGUUUUGUCCCCUAUGAACUCUUCACUUGCAGUGACAAGAGUCAAACCUGACAAACUUCACCAGGACAAUGAAGUGUGUGGACUGACUGCAGAGAGCUUGGAGUGAUGGUGAUAUUUGAACUCUGAGCAGUUCUCGUGUCCUGUGACCAAAUCAGCUGUAGGAGAAAUGUGUGUUGCAUCCACUGCCAUCACCAAACUGAGGCAGUUUUAAUACAGGAAGAGUUAUUGACUUUGUUCAGUGGUGGACUUCUGUUUAGCCUGUUUUUAUCAGCUGGCAUCUAAUGAGCUGAAUGACAGACCUGGACCCCUGAAGAUCACCAGGAGCUGGGGAAGCUGUUUGGAAACCAGCAGGCCUACAGGGGGAAAUUGUGAAUGAAAGUGAUGAGACUCUGCUGUGGUUCAUUAGUGGAGGCCGGAGUCGCCUCCAGCUCUUUCAUGCGUUUCCAUUAUUUUAUCCAGUAACUGGUCAGUUGUGUUUCCCUGAACUGGGCUCAACAGCAGCAGCAGGUCACAGACUCACACCACAGUCAUCUGUUUAUGGAGGACGUCGGCGCUGUAAAUAAAGACACUGCCUUUGUGUGUAGACUCUCUAUGUUACAUGCCUGCAAUGCCUCAUGGGAAAAGUCAUUGGUUUUCUUGACUGAGGUGAAAAUGUAUUGAGGAGCGGUGCCUUUAGUUUCUGCAGAGCGUCUCUGUUGAUGAAAUCGGUUUUACUUAAAAACGUGUGAACCUGCCAUUGAGUUAAACAUGAGGAUGGUGAAGAGCCUGUAAAUGUGCUGAAUACAUCCGUACAUCACACAACUGGAUUUUAAUUUCAGACAGGAUUAUUUAAGGGUUUUGACUUUUUCAAGGUGCUGUCAGAGUCAAAUAUGUUUUGUGAAAUGUAUAGAAUUUUACAUGAAAAGCUUUUCAGUAUAUUUUCCUGAAUUAAACUGCUGAUUUUCUUCUUAUUUAAAAAAAUAAGUGAAUUCAACAGAUAGUACUGCAUUUUAGGAAAAUUAUAUAUUGCACCGACAAGUAGUUGUCUUCAGUUUAGACUUCACAUAAAAUAGUCAAACAUUCUGUUGAGGAUAUAAUAUAGCAGGAGUUGAAGAGAUUCUAUUUGGGUUUUUGGCUUUUUUUCCCCUGUUGAGUAUUAUAGAGUUUAAAGAAGAAUAACUACUUCAAUCCUCUGAAGUUUUCCUUAGGGCAUUGACAGAAAAUGGCCAUGCAGGCUUGAUGUUGAGCACAAAGCCUGGAAAUAAGAUCACAGCAGCCUAAAUGACAUCCAUGUGAAUUAGUGAGCUGUGUUGGAACAAAUGAACUAGUCAGGAAUCCGUUUACUGCUCCAAACGGCUUAAGAUGCUGCUCAAGGACACACAUGAACACAGUUCUCAAAAUUUAUUUGAAGACGGUGCAAAGUGACAUUCAGAAAAUAUCAAGUGAGUCAAGAAGAGUGAGGAAACCUGUAACGUCGCCCCCUGUCCUCCCUAACACAAGCGUCCGAUAUCAUUCUUGGUGCAGCCCUGGGUGCAGCACAUGCCGGCCACGCCAAGAGAAAAGUUCCUCUUCUUCUUGCUCGCCGCGGACCAGUCGAAGACGCCCGGCUCCUCCUCCUCCUGCUGCUCGGUUAAAUCUGCAGGCGGCUGAGAGUCCUCCAACGGACUGGGAUCGCUCAACUGCUGCUGCUGCUGCUGCUGCUGCUGGGUGUCACUCACAGCUCCGUAAAGGGAGAGCAGGUCUGUCAGGGAGCGAGGGGAAGCAGCGUGGAGGGGAGAGUAGGGAUCUGUCAUCUGGACUCCACGACGCCAGAUGUGCUGGUCGCUCCCCUCUGUGAUCUGACUGAGGAAACUCCACCGCAAAAGAUCUGCAAAAUUAAAAAGAAAUGACUUUGGAAGCCAACUGUUGCAGAAACCUCAAUAUUUCUAUACUUUUUCAUAUAUUAAACCCACUUUUGACUAUUUAGAGUGCCACAAAUAACAAAUCAAUCAGAGAUAAUGACUCACCCAGGUCCUCUGUGGACCGUCUCCACCGGGAGCCGCCGCAGGUGAAAAUGACCGCUCUGAUGAACUCCCUGCCGCACAGCUUCACCCCGUAGUCUCUGGGCAUGAUCAGCCUGCUCAUCAGGUCUGCCUCCACGCGGCCGCAGACGCCCCCGACGCACACCGCCGCCACGGUGAGAGUCAGCCUCCAGAGCAUCUUCACUCAAAGUAACGCUGAACGAGCCGGCCGCGUUCUCGCUGUGCAGGUGGCGUCGCCUGAGUUCCACCACUCCUGUUCCUCUGUUUCUUUUUUGUUUUUUUUUUCCCCCAAACACAAGCCUCUGUUUGUCUGUUUUCUUGAGUUUCUCUCUAAGCUGCUAGUAGAUACAAGCUUUUAUAGUGGUGGUCACUGCUUAACUCAACAACCUAUCAGGAGGAUCUCUCUCUCUCUCUCUCUCUCGUUUCCUCCCUCCCAGACACACACACACGCAAAGAAACAAUGACACACGCGUCAUUAAGACUGAUGACGGUGACGCACUUCAAGUUAUUUCUUCAAAAAUAUGAGAAUAUUGUGAAGUGUGACUUUGUGGACAUUACUCACAGAUCACCUCAGCUGGAAGACAAAAAAGGAGCCGCAGUGAAGACAGAUGACAGAGGCUUUAUCAUCUGGUGUGUGUGUGUGUGUUUGCUUGAAAUGAAGGACAGGUCUUUUUGUAAGGAUCAACAAAACAAUAAGAAAAAAGAAACUUUUUUUAACAGAUCUGUGCAAUUUUGUCUUUAUUGAAUGUACAAAUAUAUUCUCAAUAUGUGAAAAACAAAUGAGUUUGUUCACGGCGACGAAGCCUUAUGACAAUUUACAUUCAUUCAAUGACGCAAAGGGAGAAACAGCUUUGGUGUCUACAUUCAACUUCUGUUCUGAGGAUACAGCUGGAAGGAAAGUGGAUCUUUAAGUGUCAGCGUUGAGAAUCUGUAUGAUGUUUCUUAAAAAAAAAAAAAAUCUAAAAUGAAAGUCUGAGGAAGUUAAAUCUCAGUGACCCAAAAAAAAAUGGGGAAAAAAAAUGUUUUGCUUUAUUUUUCUUAUUAAAUAAGAUGAAUCUGUAUGAAAAACAUCUGAAUUUUAUGAAUUUAUUUUUCAUAGAACCUCCUGGUUCCUCUUGUAUUUGAUAAAAAAAAAAUGACACUGAUGCUAAAAAUUGGUGGAUACACUCAUUGUCACAACAAGCAAAGGGGAAAAAAAACCACUGGACGAUUAGAAACACCAGGGGGAGACAGGGAGCAGCAGACACAUGGACAGGAUCCUGUUACCAACAUGCUGCAUUUCAAAUGACUGUGUUGAUCUGAUUGAUGAUCAAGUAUCAAUCGGAUGAUAAAGUCAGACUCUGAACCUCUAACAUAAAGCACCAUUGUUUUCCUAUUGAUUAUCUGCUAAUUAUUAUACAGACAAAAAAAAACUAAUUUUGCACAAAAACACUGAGCUUUGACUGUAUGAGGAGCUUUGUGCUGUUUCCUAACUCCAACUUGUCCAUUUCAUCUACGGUCAGCUGAUUUGAGAUAUAGAUCUGUGAUAAACAGGGAGUCGAGUGCAUCCUGGUUGUGUCCCACAGCUCCGUUCAGUGAGGAGAUUUUCUACCCUCUGGUAGUCUAAUGUUUCAAAAAGCUGCUUUAAAUGCAAGCAAGCGCAAUGAUCUGUCUGCUUAAUGUGGUUUAAUUUCUAUGCCGUGAUAGCUCCCCACGCUGGCUGCAUAUUUCUAAAUAACUGCCCAUCUGAUUCAAUAUCGCAUAUAAGCCAGUCUGCUUCAUGCUACCUGCCGGGAAAGUAUUUACCUACUAGUGCACCUAUUAUAACAAACCCACAAGCACCAGAGCAUGAUUACACACACCGAUAUGGCCGAAACUUUGACUUGAAAUCCGUGAUACGAUAUUAGUGCAAACCAUGGAUUCUCACAAAGUCCAUCAUAAAAAAAAAAAAAAGCAAAAGCAGCUCAGGUGAAUGCGCCGAAUGGACGACAGACUCAUCACAACGUAACUUAAGUGCUAUUUCUCCAGGAAGGAGGCGAGGUGGCUUUGAGCGCGCCGGGCCUUCUCUAUGCUAUCGAAGGUCGGGAUCCCCAGAGGCAUGUCCAGACGGUCGCUCUCCUUCUUCAGGAUAUUCUCGGCCUCCCCUGUGCGAGGUGAAAUG